UGCUUGUCUUCUCUGGUUUCUGGUGUGGUAGUGAUGAUUAGGAUCUGUGCUCUGAUCCUCUUUUAUCUGUGCUCGUUUCUGCUCGGGGUGUGGUUGUGUGAGCUUGUUUUUGUAUCCUUCUCGGGCCUUCUUGUAAAGGCAAUCUAAUGAUGGGUCCUCUGGUUGCUCCUGUUUGUAACCACUUUCCAGCGCCCAAAAUGUUCUAUGGAAAUGUUCGUCGGAUUCUUUUCGUGAAGAGUUUGCAGUUGUGUUGCUUGAGUCUUAGAUAUUAGCAUUUCCGUGUACUUUAAGGUUUUCCUUCUUUUAUGUCUUCAUUUUUUGGCUUUUGUCUCUGGGGGUUUCCAUGUACCCGCCGGCUUAGUUUUCCGGGAGUUAGAGUCCCGCCGGCGUUAGUAUUUCACCAUGUAUCCCAACUUUGUAUUUCUCCCUUGGUUAUAUUUCAU
rnacentral:lncRNA from 1 species